CUCCCGCCGGCAACCGGCGCACGGGUGAGUAACACGUAUGAAACCUGCCCGUAGCAGGGGGAUAAGCGGAAGAAAUUCCGUCUAAUACCGCGUAACAACCCGAGGAGGCAUCUCCUCGGGUUUAAAGGAAGCGAUUCCGGCUACGGAUGGUCAUGCGUCGCAUUAGCUAGUUGGCGGGGUAACGGCCCACCAAGGCGACGAUGCGUAGGGGUUCUGAGAGGAAGGUCCCCCACACUGGUACUGAGACACGGACCAGACUCCUACGGGAGGCAGCAG
rnacentral:rRNA from 1 species